AUGCUGCUCGUCUUCAAGCCACGGGGAAUCCACUAUCCCUGUGUUCUCAGAUUUGAUAACGUGACACGCCAGCUUGUGCUUGUGCAGAAAAUCGGCAAAUACGCCAUCUUCGUUGGCCAUCAGAGGUGUCUAGCUGUGGAUUCUGACAAGUUCCCAGGCGUCGAGGAGAACUGCGUCUACUACCCUCAACAUCUGGGUUCAUCCACUUUCAUAUACAAGUGCAACAUCGCGGACAAGAAAGUGGAGAGGAUCUCCGAAUCAGACGAUUUCAUGAGGCGGGACAUGCAGUUUGUCCUAGUGGCCGAGCGUCCUUUCACCAUCAUCCACAUUCUCUCCAGCUACACCAUCAACAUCCCGGAUUCUCAACUCGCCUUGCAACAGAUGCCAUAA
rnacentral:rRNA from 1 species